rnacentral:lncRNA from 1 species
AUCCCCAUCUGGUUUAUUAAAAUAUCGGGAAUGUGUAAAGUGAAACACAAUUUCCAUGAAAAUAAAACCUAAAUUCACGUAACGUAUCAAUUAGUAGAGUUUCAAAAGUAUGUCAUUUCUAAUACUACUAGAAAUAUGUGAGGAGAAAUAGGUAUUUAAGGUUUACCGCUUACGAUAUCAUAUAGUUCUUUUUUUUUGGCAUCAUAAGAAACAUAUAAUUCUACAGGCUUCACUGAAAGUGGAGUGAAGCCAUUAGACACACACACAAAUUCAUUUAAAGUAAAUAACGACACAUAAAACAAGUCUUUGUAACAACGAAAUCUCUUCCAACACUGGAAGCAUGCACCCUUAAUUUUUUUUAUUGCAAAUACUCGUACUCAGAGUCAGUAGAUGGAUACUUAGACUCCUCGGAGCUGAGCUCCUAGUAUCCUUCUCCUUUGCCUUUGCCUUUGCCUUUGCCUUCUCCUUCCUUCUCCUUUGAUGUGUCCUUCUCCUUUUCCUUCAAUGUCUUCUGCUGUUAAAGGGCAUUCUGCGAGACAUAGGCUAUUCCAAAGCCAUAAUGCUCCGACAGAACUAAGUAGCUCCUUUGAUAUCAGGUCAAGACGUGGCUGUGAUAAAAGAAUAUUGAUAUUUUUUCUCCCUUUGCAAAACUCAAGAGCAUGGAGGAUCUCCGGGUGUUCUGAGAUGUCCUCCAUGAUUACCACCAGAUUUAAUGGUUGACGAUGGCCAAUAGCCUUGCCCAUAAAGUCCACGAAAACCUUCUUGCGUCUCUCUUCUUUAGUGCCUGCGUGUCGCAUGGGGAAUGGGAAAUAGAUAUUCCCCAAGACAUCACACAUCUUAAAAGCGUCACAAUAAACAAAGAAUGAUCUUGACAUCAUCAGAUUACGGCAACCCGUAACACGAAUCGAAUAUUCAAUGUUUGAAACAGCAUUAUUAACGGGGAGACCCUCAGGGACCGGGCAUCCAGAGAAGUCCCAGAAGAGGAUUGUUUCGGCCAUGUUGUAGUAAUGGUAUCCUCUUCCAAGAUUGGCAAGUACUUAGGCUGUGCUAAGAUACAGUUGUAUCGUUUCAUUUCCAGUAGAUUAAAAGCGCAUUCGAAGUUGAACUGGGAAUGCCUUGAGAUGUCUCCAAUGAUCCCACCAUGUCCCAGCACACCACUACUUCUGCCGUUCUGAACCGGGCGAUUUCUUUGUCGGUGAAGCGAACCAUGGUUUCCAGGAGACUGUUGCUUUCGCCGCAAAAGAAAAAUCCAAGACGAAUUAACUUAUUUUAGGGUUCCUCUCUGUGGCUGCGUAUAUCACCGAGCGAGAGACGCGAGCCUUUAUAGCUCUGCCCUCACGUGUUCAGGGCCUCAUUUUUUGACGAUAUCAUAUAGUUUAGAAAUGUUUUAUUAUUAAAUAGUCUUAAUAAGAAUAAUAUUUCUAACUAAAUAAUUAAGAAAUGAAAACAGUGCAUAUAUUAUUUUGACAAGAAUAACUAUAUACUAUACUAUAUAUGUAUAAUAAUAGUAGUUAAACUAGUUAGCAUUUUUAGAAAUGUGACAUUAGCAAAAAAAAAAAAAAAACUUUGAAAUGUCGUCUAGUUAACUUUUUCAAUCCCUAUUGGCUAUUGCAUUCGUCAUCACGGAUCUAUUCCGUUAUAAAGCUGUUAUGCGUGAUGCUUGAAAUUUGUGUUUCUAUCUUGUUACGUAGCACAUCUUUUAUUUCAUAUAUAUCUAUAUAUAUAAUAUAUGUCUCAUACAGCUUUAUUAUGGUUGAGAUUUAUAAUUAGUUUACAUGCAUGGUUACACAUUAUUUAUUGUGGUUACUAUUCAACUUUUGUGCUCCUUCCAUACAAUUUUUUUUCGUUUUUUUUUCAUUGAUUAACCAAGUAAAAUAAAAUAAAAGUUAGAACCAUGAUACUCUAUUCAUACUGCAAUACACAACCUGUUAAAUAAACUUAAAUUUUACAAAAAUAAAUAUCCAGAUAUACUACUUAAUUUGAUGAGAAUUUCUUAAGGGCCAUAAAAAUGAUAAGUGGUUUAGGAGUUCUUAUUAAAUACUAGAGAUUUUUUCCGCGCUUCGCGCGGAUUGUGUCUUAUAAAUUUAUAUUAUUUAUAAUAUUAUUUGUCGGUUUUUUCUUUUACAUUAACUUCUUGUCUUUUCAAUGUUAGUUUUUCUUAAUUUAAAUUUAUAUGUUUAUAGUUUUUCAUUUUUCUUGUUGUAGAUGGAGAAUUAUAUUUUUUAUUGAUGGUUUUUUGUAUGUGAUAAACUUUUUGAAAUUUUAAAAUAAUGUUAUAUAUAGUACGAUUAACACAUUAAAGAAGAUAAACAUAUUCAGACACAUUUUACACAGGUUUUAUAUGCAUAAUUUUAAAUAUUAUAUAUGUAUAUAUUGUAAGUUUGAAACAUGUAAAUGCUUUCUAAAGCUAAAUACUUGUUCUAAGUUUACAUAACUUAUCGAAAGUUUUAUCUCUUUUUAAAUUCAAAUCACAGAAAAAAAUAUCAAAAAGUCAGUAUAUAUGGGUUUUUGGGCUUUUAAAUCAAUACUGAAAAAUUACAUGAAUCAGAUAACAACAGUUUUGUAAACAACUAUAAAAUUUGACCGAGCCAAAGAUUUUCACACAGUAUGUUAUUUAUUCUUCAAAUUGCGAAGAGUCUAUAGGCACAAGAAAAAAAAAAUCAUAAUUUUUGUUUUCACUUAUAUAACAUUUUUCCUCCUUUACACACGGAGUUUAUUACACUGCUAUAAGCAAUGGAGAAACAAGUUGUUUUGCGAAAAGAAAGUUAAGAAUAUGUUUUAAACAUCCGCAAAAAAAGUUAUAAAUUCAAGAAAAGUUAGAAGGAUAAACGCAAUCUAAAUGCUUGGAUGAGAUUCGAUGCGAACAUCGUGAAAGGAUAAUGAUAAGUUUUAGUCUGCGAGAUAAACUAUGAUCAUAAACAAAAUGAAAUGGACAUGUUACGACCGAUGAGAUUGGAUGUUAAGCAGAUCAGUUGUUCUUUUUUUUGCUUCCAAGUAUAUAUAGUAGAUUGAUGCAUAGAAGAGCAAGUGGAGAACAUUCUGAAAUGAGUUUUGAGGCUUAAGGCUUGCAUUGUUCAUAGAGAUCAGCCAUAUGCUAAGGAAGUUAUAGUAGAAAAACUUAUUCGGAAAAACGAUGCGUGCACCAUAUGAUUUUGCCCCAAGGGACAUUAAAAUAACUACAAUGAACCAAGACAAAGUGAAGAAUAUUGUGGGAUUAUCUUAACUUGGUUAACAUAUAGAAGCAUCUAGAACGAGGAUCUUAGUGAUUUAAUUUGGUUUUCUAUAAUCAAGGAUUCCUCUCUAUAUGCUACAAUCCAAACUGGUCCUCACUAAAUUGUAGAUGCGCAGCUUUUUUCUUCCAAAGAUAUGGUGGUGUUGGUGUUGGUAUCGGCAUUUAGUUGAAUAGUGAAUUAUGACCCGUGGAAUCAAUAAACACGUCAUGGCCUACUUGGGUGGGUUUCCAAAUUUAUGGUGUGAUUACAUCAUCUAGCUUCUUUUUUUUUGUCAGCCAUCAUCUAGCUCAAUGUCAAGAACGAGAGAUGGUGAAAUAUAACGUGUGCCCAAAAAUAUGCCGAUCAGCAGAUGAAAUCUUAUGUAAUAUAAUUAUGCAUGGGUAAGACGCGGAUGACUGGAUGAGAUACCUAGUUAUAUAUACAUAGAAAGUAAGCCUACAUAUUCGUGUGAUGAAACAUCAUAAUACAAAACAAAAUUUGGAAGGAGGAGGGAAACCUAGUACAUAUAUGUAUACAUAACUUAAAACACCGUGCAACUACUCCAAUCACAGAUUAAAGCCUUAGAACCGAUCAUCAAGGUGGAUUCCAAACUAAUUAACCCCAAAGAGGAAAAAAGAGAAUCAAGUAAACAAGAAGUUACAAGUUUUUGUUAAAAGAAAUGAGAAUAUAGAGAAUGGAUGAAUUGAGGGUGUUCAAAAAAAAAAGGAAGGGAAAUGAGAAUAUGUGAGGGGUGGUAAGAGACGAACAAUAAUGGAAAAACAAAAAAAGUGGCAAACAAAAUAGGACCACGUCGAAAAUAACGAGUGGUGUUACAGUAUCCCUUCAAUUCUCAAUGAUCAAGACAAUUUUGUCCAAAACAAAAUGAUCAAGACAAUAAUGUCUAUCACUUUUCCACUUCACUAUAUCUACAGUAUCCAUGACCCAACUGUUUCUUAUUUAUUUUCUUCUUUUGUGUUUAUAAAAUUAGAUUUAUUAAUUUCCAGAUAUAUCUAAUAAAUAACUUGAUUUAGAUUCCGAUUGGUGACACAUAGUAUUAACAUUGAGUUGUAAUAUGUAUUAUAACUUAAUAUAAUUUAGAGUAAAAAUUAUGUGGUAAAAAUAUAGAUUUAUGUAGUAUGUUUGCAGUAAAAAUAUGAGUUAUUAUUUUUAUUAAAAUAAAUGAUUGAUAAAAUUUACGGUGUAGAAGUUGCAGUAUAUUUUUAUACAAUUUAAAUUAAUUAAAAUAUAAAUAUUAAGUAGGUAUUGGAAAAUAAAUAAUAACUAAAAUAAUUAAACAAUUAUUAUUACUUAUUACUAUGUAUGCAAUUUUAAUAAUUGAAAAUAAGCUACAUAAUGCAUUAAUUUCAAAAUUAUAGUUAUAAGUAAUACUAUUUAUUAUAAUAUCAAUAUUAAAAUAAAUUACACAAUUAUUAAUAACUUCAUUUUAAAAUUAAAAAUUAAUAGUAAAAAAUAGUGUGCAUUCCAAAUCACAUUUGAAAUUUCAUUUUGCAUAUUGAAUUAUGCAGUAUCGACUAUAUAUUUAUAUUCUUGAUAUAUAUAUAAGCCAUACAAUUAUGUUUUGAACAAAAUUUGGUUCUUGGGUAAAUCAAAUCAUCUUAUUUUUUCAUGAUAUCAUAAGAAUAACCACCUACUAUCAUUUUAAUAUAAACGAUAUGUUGCAUAGUACUUUUCAUUAGUGCUAAUCCUUCUUUUUGUGCUAGAAAUGCUUGAAAAUAAAUAUGUAUAGCUAAAUGUAGUAAUAUAUACAGCAUCAAUUUGCAAAUAUUCUUCUUGUUAGAAAAUAAUUGCGAGCUAGUUUAAACAAAUUGAUCUAUUUAAAUAAUUAAUAAUUCGCGUACCAAAAUAUCUAUCAUAAUCAACAUUGUCAGUAUGUACGUGUGUAUAUAUAGAAGAGAAUAGCUCUUAAGCUCACCACCAUCACACAAUUCAUUGCUCUUCUUCACAAGUUUCUUUAGUCUAAUCUUAUAGUGUUAUAAAAAUACAUAUUUCAAGGAUAUAUAGAAAGCAAAAAUUCAAAGUCUACUUGAAAAACAUGAAAACACCUAGCAGCUCUGUGGGCAAGACCCAAGAGCGCUUCUCGAUUAGUCUCAUAUUCAGAUGUAUCAGAGUUCUCAUUAACAGAUCUAUUUCUUUCUUACCUUUUUAGAAUAUUUCCUUUCUGAUUUUAGUUUCCCAAUAUAGUAUUUCCUUUGGUGUUGUUUGAACCUUUAACACAUUAGUGUUCAUAUAUAUAUAUCGGAGAAAAUGUCAAGAAAGCCAUGUUGUGUCGGAGAAGGGUUGAAGAAAGGUGCAUGGACCACCGAGGAAGACAAGACGCUCAUCUCUUACAUUCACGAACAUGGAGAAGGUGGCUGGCGCGACAUUCCCCAAAAAGCUGGUUAGUAUAUAUAUAGUAUACACAGGCAUGUAUAAUUAGUAUUUAUUGUAUAAUAUUUUGAUGAGAAUAUGGUGUUUAAUUAGGGUUGAAAAGGUGUGGAAAGAGUUGUAGACUGCGAUGGACUAACUACCUAAAACCUGAGAUCAAAAGAGGCGAGUUUAGUUCAGAGGAGGAACAGAUUAUCAUCAUGCUCCAUGCUGCUCGUGGCAACAAGUACGUUUAUUUUUAACAAAAAGGACUAUUAUAUGUUUUUUAUGUGCGUAUGAAUCCUCCGGUAAUCAUCAUUCUAGUUGUCUCUUUUUUUUUUAUUACCGCAAACAAAUUUUAUUAGUAAAAAAUUUAAAUUACAAAGUCCAUAUUCAAAACACACAAAAUGUUAUAUAAUCUAUAUAUACAUCAUAUAUUAAAAAGUACAACAUGAUAAAUAAAUUUAACGAUGCUUCUAAAGUGAAGUUUUACUUCGAAAAAAUUUAUUCGUUAUUUUUUCCAAUGUAUUUGACAAUUCUCUGAUGCAAAAUAUGUGUUUGGUUAGCACACAUCAUUUAGUCUAUAUUCCAUAAAAAAACUUCAAAAUAAAUUUUAUUAACUGUGGUCUUCCAUCUUAUCUCUUUCACUAUUCUUGUCUUUAGGUGGUCGGUCAUAGCGAGACAUUUACCUAGAAGAACCGACAAUGAGAUCAAGAAUUACUGGAACACGCAUCUCAAAAAACGUCUGAUCGAACAGGGUAUUGACCCCGUGACUCACAAGCCACUAGCUUCUAAUACUAGCCCUACUGCCACCACCACGCAGCCUGGGAACUUGCAUUCUCUAGAUGCAUCUAGUUCCGACAAACGAUACUCCCGGUCAAGCUCAAUGCCUUCCAUGUCUCGUCCUCUUUCCUCCGGUUUCAACCCAUCUUCCGAGAUCACCACACCAGUUCAGGGAGGUUCCUUGAGUUGCAAGAAAAGUAUUAAGAAAUCGAACUCUACAUCAAGGCUUUUAAACAAAGUUGCGGCUAAGGCCACUUCCAUCAAAGAUAUCUUGAAUGCUACUACAAUACCAUAUGAAAGCUUUUCCAAUGGCUUCCCUGAGCAGACUCGCAAUGAAGAAGAUAGUUCCAAUGCUCUCGCUGACUUCGAUCCCUUUUCUCAAUCAUUGUUGUACACUGAUCACGAGAUACAUGCUACUUCUGAUCUCGAUAUGGAUCAGGGUUACGAUUUCUCAUAUUUUCUCGAGACACUCGGGAGAGAUGAGCACAACAUGAAUGUCGAUCAGUAUGGUCAUGAUCUUCCUAUGUCAGAUGUGUCACAAGACGUCGUCUCAUCAACUAGCGUUGAUGAUCAAGACAAUAUGACUGGAAACUUCGAGGGUUGGUCAAAUUAUCUUCUUGACCAUGCUGGUUUGAUAUAUGACGACACUGAAUAUGAUUUCUUCGAUAAGCAAAUCAUAUGAAUCUUUUUAUAUUCGAACUGAACGGUUUCAAACUAUUUGAAACUUUCCUGAACGAGAAGUUAUGUAUGUAUUUGUCAUUUGGAUUGUUAAGUAUAUGCCCGAGAAGGCGAGAACUCAUGUUUAUUAAUCCGUAGGGUUUGUAUGACGUUAAAUCAGGGUUAAUGUUAGGUCACCGCAAGAAAUAAGAAAAUAGUACUCGAGCUAGGGUUUCUCUUACACUGAGAACCACCGUGCAUGCCUCACGGAUCAAUUGGUAGUUGAUUAGGGCCAGUCACAAUGUUUCAUAAUAUUUAUUGCAAUAAAGGUUGUUUUAUACACAGUUCCACAAAAAUGCAUGUUUAAAAUUUUUCACACAUUAAUAAAACAUAUUGUAAUUAAUUUCAGUAUUAAUAUAUACUUUUGUGAUUAUCUAUUUUAUAUAAUCCUAAACCAAUGAAAAUUUAGUAAAUGUAAUUAAUUUUUGAAAUAAAUUAUUUUUAUAAAACAAACAUCUUUAUGAAACGGAGAUAAUAUUUUUUUUAUAGUACACAUUAUCAGUAUUCUUUUGCUAAAAGUUAAAGUCGAUUCUAAUCAUCAGUCAUGCUCUUCUUUAUGAUUAUAUCAGUGUUUCCAACUUUCCAUGGCAUGAAGUUGGUGGUAUCUUUCGUUGGAUUGGAAACUGACCACACGAAAAAGACGUUUCAAUAGAAAAUGUACAUGUGGUCCAUAAGCAAGUAAAUGAAAGCUAAAGAUCAAGAUGGGAAACAGAUAAUCGGAAGUGUGAGCCGAUAAAUCUUAAUCAUAUAACUUUUAAUAUAAUAUAUAGUAUUUGUGUGAAAAUUUCAAGACUGCUAUUAUACAACAAAAUCACCCCAAGUUUUUUUUUUUUUCUUAAAGCAAAAGCACCUCAUUAGCUAUAAUUCUUCGAUUUAUAGUUUUCAUUUUUCCUAUAUGAUUUUCCAUUUCCUUGUUUCAGUAUAUACACAAACUAUUUCAAUAUAUAUAUAUAACUUACCAUGAAAAUAUAGGUUCAAUUCACGCUGGGAUAAACUAUUUACAAUGCUUGGAUUUAUGGCAAAGAGGUGAAACCAUCUUUUUUUGCACAAAAAAGAAAAACUUAACAUGAAAAUACCUUAACCCUUAGAAACACAAAUCAUUUAGUGAAGUCUUACUCUCCUUCCGUAAAUGACCCCCCCGGCCCUCAGUGAUUUUUAUAGUGAUUUAUAAAAAUGCAGUAGGAUCUAAACAAAGUGACACGGAACUACGCAAUUUACACGACCAAUGUCAUCCAUCACGCACUCGAUCAUUCGUCCGAAGUGUUGCUUGCGUCGACGAUCGCCUCUUUCAAUUGUCUCUACUUUUUUUUUCUUUUAUGAGUUUAUCCCACUCCUCUUGAUAUGAUAGUCUCACCCUCGUCCAUGAAUAUUCGUUACUGUAAAUUAUAAACAACUUUUGUAUUAGUUAGAUUAUUUUAUUUAUGAAUUUCCUAUCCAAUUUUAUAUGUCACCAUAACCUUUACGUACCUUCUUUGUCAUUUUUCUUACAAAGACCUUAUUUAUCGAAAUAUUGAGAAUAAAUUAUAGUAACACACGAAUGAAAGCAAUACAACUAUGCAUGUUAUCAGUUAUAUUUAGAAUGCAUUACUAAUAAUUUAAUUUAAUAACUUGUUGCAAUUCCAACCAUUUUAAGCCUAUUUUAGUAGUUUCUUGGCCGGUUUUGUUAUUUUUUCUUAAAGAGUAUUUAAUUUAAGUAUAAUCGGUUACAAGAUACGACAAUUAUACUGCUAAAGUUUGCAUGAAUAUUUUCAUAAUAUUUGGAACCUUUUUUAGCCUACAUAAAAGUAAAAAAAAAAAAAAAAAAACUUAGGGAAAAUUUUAAACAAACAAAACAACGUGAAAUGAUCGGUUUUGUUUAUCUGUUUUGGAUAUGGCUUUGAGUUGCUAGCAUUAGUUAAUUAGUUUGAGGUUUUGCUCUUGUGGUGUUCAGUUUAGUUAACUUUGGUCUAAACAGGUGUUUUCAUCAUCUCUAAAUUUUUAAAAUGUGUGAACUGUUAUAAAAUAUGUUGUUGUAGUUCUUAUGUAAUCUGAAAUAUUUUCAGCCUCCAAAUAAAUAAGCUCUCUCUUCACAUGUGAAUCAUAAAUAAUAGGGCAAAGAUUUUUAACGGAACCCAACUUGUCUAACCAAAAUUUUUGGUGAUUUUCGGUUAGUUUGGUUUUCUAAAAAAACAUUUGUUGCUACUUUAUCACAUUUAUUCAUCGCAUCCAAGUUUUUUUGCGCACUUAUUUUCCUCUUUCUACCCUCAAACUAAAUCAAUUAAAAAUCUAACUCAUGUAGAUCCACCCGCGUUGGACUUAACUGCAAGGCCGCUCCUGGACUAAAACCCGUAAAACCAGAAUAUUAGGCUCCAAACCUUCUAGAUAAUUUAGGAGCACCAAAUCUGAACAAUUUAUUACCUUAAUCUAAUGGUUUAUUUCCUUCUCAUCAAGUCCUACAGUUGAUGUAUUUGAUUCACUCUCUCUUUUAGUACUACUUUUCUUUUAGUUUCUUACUUUUUCUAACAAAGUUAGUCUCUCUAUCACAUACAUUAAAUAAAUCAUUUAAUUAAGCAAACCUUAGUUAUAUUUCAAAGUAGACGUUCUUCUUCCUAUUUUGUUUUCAGUUCUUUUUCUUCGGAGAAUAACUUAUUAAUGAUCAAAGUAAUCAUUUGUUUUCUAUUUUAUUUUUUGAUAAAUAGUUACGUACAAGACAUUUAUUAUAACAAGCGAUUUAAAUUACCAGUUGCUUAACUUCUACACUUUUCUUAACAAAAGAAAAUUGAUGUUGAUGUUAAUGUAAUUUUAUUAUAUGUUGCUAUAUUAUAUAACUUUUAUUUUUAUUUACAGAAAAUGUUACAAAAAUAAGAUUAGUAACCAACCUGGAUUAUAUAUUUUAGUUAUUCAAAGUUCAUGAAUACAAACAUUAUUUUCAUGAAUACUAUGAUUUAAAGCUCUUUGAAUUUUCUUUCAUUUUGUUAACAAAUUAGGAUUUAAUAGUAUAUUGCAUUAUUUUGAUUACAUACCUAAAAAUGCAGUUUAAAAUUUAGUUAUAUUUAAGGGCAUAAGUUUUUUGUCUGCUUUAGGCGCCACGUAAGUUCGGACCGGCACUGUCUAGCUAGCUGUAUGUUUCAUUUUCGGAUUAUUUAUUUUACCUAAAUACUAUUUUGUUUUUUAUUUUCGGAUUUUUUUUAUUUUCGUUUACCAACACAUUUUUGCAGUUCUUUUUAUUAAUUUUCUAAUUUGAAUGAUAGAGAACCAUCCAAAAAUUAUAUUAUAUAUAUUCAACCAUCAUGUUUGAAUGAAUCAUUUAUUAAUGGGCUCUAAUAGGCCCACAUUUAUUUUGUACGUUUAUAAAUCAUUUAUUACUGGGCUAACCCCAAUAGGCCCACAUUUGUUUUGUACGUUCAGAUGAAUAUACAAGUCAGCAGUACAUAGCCAACCGUUUGUGAUAACCCUGCACUGGAUCAGAAGAUGAAGAAGGCGUUGUCCACGAGACCGUAAUCACACGUGGCGAAACAGUAGAAAAUUGCAAGAUUUUUGCCGUAAAAAAAAAACAACAACAACUUUCUUGGAGGAGGAAGAGUCAAAAGAGAGAUAGAACGAUUUGGUGGGAGGUUUCUCUUCAGUACUAACCUUAAAAAGUUAAAACCCACCAACAAACUCUUUUGGGUUUCUGUCUGAAAGAAAAGAAGACAUGUCGUUGUGUUGUUCAUCAACCCAACAAGUCAAUGGGUUCGGUCUCAGGCCUCAAAGGUCGCUCCUUUACCAACAACCCACUUCCUUUUUCUUUCUCCAGGUACUUAAAAGUGAAUGCCUUUCAUGAGUUUGUGGAUAUGAUUGGGAGAGUAAACGUUAUCAUUUGAAAAAGAAUCAGUCUUUCUUGCAUUAACUGUUAUCCUCAAAGUCACACACUUUGGUAAUCUAAACGUUUUGUUCAGAAGGAGAGCUCAUGGCGUUGUGAAGGCAUCAGCUCGUGUUGAUAAGUUUUCCAAAAGUGACAUCAUUGUCUCUCCUUCGAUCCUCUCUGCCAAUUUCGCCAAACUAGGAGAGCAGGUUAAAGCAGUAGAGUUGGCAGGUUGUGAUUGGAUCCACGUUGAUGUGAUGGACGGUCGUUUUGUGCGCCAUAGAAAUCUCUGGAUUGUGAAUCUUUUUGUGAGUUGUGUAAUAGGUUAUUGAAGCUGGAGCCAAUGCUUUAGUAGCUGGAUCAGCUGUAUUUGGAGCUAAAGACUAUGCAGAAGGUAUAGACUUUGGAAAGUUAUAUAUAAAUUUGCUCAGUUUAUGGGAGAAUAAUCUUUUUGUUUGUUUUGAAAAAAUCUACAGCUAUAAAAGGAAUCAAGACCAGCAAGAAACCAGAAGCUGUGGCUGUGUAAUGUUGAAGCAACAAGCUAAAAAAAUACUCUGUUAUAAUCUUAGGUUGGUUGGUUUCGCCUUAACUGAAUAUCUAUGUUAGUAUCUUAAGACUUGGCUUGCGAUGCACAUGUUUGAUCUGAACUGCAGUAACUCUUGUUUCAGGAUAAACUAAAAGGGUCCAGAUGUUGUUGUUUUUGCCAUUCAACAGAGGUACUCUACAGUUUCAAAAUAGUUCAUAUAUACUUGUGUACCAUUGUCUUGUAGAUUGGGGAUCUGCAGAUUCCAUACAUUGUGCAAUGAAACACUGUAAUAGUUAAUAAACUGGUGCAUUAUGUAUUUUUGUUUUUGGGAAAAUAAAGCAUGGUCACUUGUAUACAUAACUCUGAUCACUUAGCUUCCUCUUCUGUAAGAACAUGAUCAUAAACAUCUCCUAUAUAUUAAUUGUGAAAUAUUACAACUUCUUUUUGUAAACAUAUGUCAUCACUAGGAUGAUUCUUAGAAUCCUUAGAUAAAUAGGUUGGUCCAUCUGAUUAUAUAAUAAGUUUUUUAUUAUCUAAUCAUAAAUUCAUUAUUAAUGUUGUUUAUUAUUUCCUUAAAUAAAAGUUACGGAAUUUCCUAAUGUGUCUAAAGUAUAUAUGACAAUUAAUGAUUCUGAAUAAUAAAGAUUGGAUAAAAAAUAAUGUAUCUUAUAUCAUAUUUGUUUAAUUUUAAUCUAUUAAAAUAAAUUAAACAACCACAUUAACCAUAUAAUAAAAAUUCAGAUUUUUUUUAUAAGUUAUAUUUUGAAUUUUUAAAAACGAUUAUAAAUUACUAAAACCAUUACAAGAUAUAUAUAUAUAUACCAUAUAUCUUUUAAAAUUAAACUAUAUACCAUAUAAAACACAUAAAUAUUUUAAUUUCGAAAUUUACUUUGAACAAUUUCUUUUGAUAAAAUAUUUGAACAAACAUUAACAACUUAAUUUUUUUUAAAAAUAUUAAUUACUAAAACUAUUAAUCCACAUUCCACAAUGAAAAUUUUGUUAGUAGUAAUUUAAAAUUUUUGCUAUAAAAUAUACAAAUGAGAAAAAAAAAACAUAUGAGUAAAAAGCAUCAUUUAGUAGACAAUAAUAUUAAAAAUAUACUAUAUAUGUUAAUAUCUUUUAAAUUUAAUUAUAUAUCAUUUUAAAUAAAAAAAUUGUUUGGAUUCAUAAAAUUUAUGUUCUCACCAAUUUAAUUAUAUAUGUAAUAGUUACUGAAUUUUUAAUUAUUCAAUAUAUAUUUAUUAUUUCAUAAUAUGUAAAAAAUAUAUAAUAUCUAAAAUAAUUUAUAUAUAAUGUUCAUCCCGCGCAAGGUGCAGAUCUUAACCUAGUUAGUUAGUUAUUCUAAUGGAACUCAACAAUUGAUGGAUCACGCAUGAAUUAUUUUGUAUCUGCCAUUAAUUAAAAAAAUGGAUAGUAGAUAACAAGAAACGAUAGAAAUAGAGAAUCAUAAACAAGAAACAAAACAAAACUCACACAAUUUAAUGAAAAACUCUCUAGCCACCAAGUCCAAGUCAUUAACUCUGCAAACCAAAUGCAUGCCACAAUUGCAUCAUAAAAAAGCAUAAUGUACAAUAGAAACUUCAUAAAUUAAUCCUAAUCAACAUGAUAAAUAAAUAAUUUUUAGCAGUCGCAAGUUUUUCGGUGUAAAAUAUGACACAAUUUGAUAAGAUAAUUUGAUAAGAUAAUAAAUUAAUGAUUAAUUGUAUACAACAAUUAUAAAUAUAAAAAACAUUGUACAAUUUAUUUAUCCACAUUAAAUUCUAUCUUUAAUUUUUCUAAAUAUAUUGAUGUUAUUUUGUCAUUUUAAAUCUAAAAAUAUUCAUUUACAUUGACAGCACAUAUUUUUUAUACACCAAAAAUUCGAAUAAGAAUAACAUAAAAUUUGUAUAUGUAAAAUUUAAUCAAUACAAUUACCAUAAAAUUAAGUUUUUUUUUUUAAUUUUACAUAAAAACAUAAUUCAAAAUAUAUAAAUAUAAAAAAAAAAAAAAUUUCUGUAAAUUAAUAACUCUAUAAAAUAAUAAAUUAUCAAAGUCCCGACAUUAUUAAUUUAUAGAGUUUUUACUGUAUUUCAUGUUAUUGUAUGAAAAUAUAUAUUAUGUAUACAAUGUCAUAAACUUUAAAUAAUAAUUAAAAACAUUAAAAAUAUAAUUUUUAACUUCAAAUAGUUUGAAAAUAUAAAAUCUAAAAACUAUUUGUAAUAGCAUGAAAUUUAGUGAUAAUUCAACAAUAUUAAUUUAAGUCAUCAAAAAUAUAUAUUAAUUUAAGUCAUAAAAUGUUUAGAAAACCGGCUCACAAUAAACUUAAUUUUGGUGCAAAUUAAUUAUCAAUCGUAAAGUUUCCAUAAAUUUGGUGUAAAAAUAACUUAUGAAUAUGUAGUAAUAACAAAUGUUUGUGGAAUUGUAUAUGUAAUUAUCACAUUAACUUCUCCAACCAAUAUUAGACAUCUUCUUCGGCCUCUUCUUAUUUUUUCGUUAUCAUUUUGUUCUUAUUAUCAAAUUUUUGCUAAUGUUUUUCUAUCUUUUUAUAUUUUUGUCAAAUAUUUAUUUCUCUCUCUAAAUAAUAAUGCAAACUAUACAAUCAAUGAACCAAAGAGCAUCCUUUGCCAUGAACCUCUACUUCCGACGGUUCAGAAAAACAGAAACCAGCUGCUACUUCCAUGGAACCGCUCUCAUCAUCCAGGAGAACCCUGGCUCGCCUUUCUGUGAAUUCAAAGAAAUUUGCGGCGGUGGUAGUGGCGUUCGUGUCGGAUUGAUCCUCACCCUUAUUGGAGCUCUCCUCGUGAUCGUAGUUCUACUCGUCUUUUUCUGUGUUACAAAGAGGCUGCUGCCGUCUUAGUGUCUUCUUCGUCUCACUGGGGAAAUUUUUUUUUUUUGUAUGGAAAGUUACUGUGUUAAAGUUUGGUAAUAAAAACGUCACUAUUUUGCAUUGUUAUAUGAACUCGGUUUCUAGUUAAAUUUUUGUUAAUAGUUUAUCAAUUAUCAAAUGGCAAAUGACGCUCUUUGGUUCAUUGAUUGUAUGGUUUGUAUUACUAUUUAAAGAGAGAAAAUAAAUAUUUGGCAAAAAAAUAUAUAAAAAUUAGCAAAACAUUAGCAAAAAAUUUAAUAAAAAGAACGAAAUAAUAACGAGAAAAAUAAGAAGAGGCCAAAGAAGAUGCAUAAUAUGUGUUGGAGAAGUUAAUGUGAUAAUUACAUAUUUAUAAUUCCACCAGCAUUUGUUAUUACUAAGUAUUCACCAAUUAUUUUAUAUCAAAUUUAUAGAAACUUUACGACUGAUUUUUAAACUAUUUGAAGUUAAAAAAAAAUAUAUAUUUAUUUAAUAUAAUUCAAAAUUUAUGGUAUUGUAUACAUAUAUAUAUAUAUAUAUUCAUACAAUAUUUAUAGCCAACCUAGUUAUGAUAAAGGCAUAAGCCUAGCACCAUUUUUUCAAUAUAGAAAUUAGCUUACUCUUUUAAGCUCUUAUCAUCAUUCAAUUUCUUGAAAGCUAAGCCUUCCAAAUUCCUCAAACCUAUAAUUAUUAUGCUUUCAGUUGAAUACUAAUACAUAGAAUCAUUCUCCCACAAUUCAAUAUGUGGUUAUAAUAUAUGCAAUGGAGGGUAUUGUAAGCAUCCAAAUCCAAUUGCAUCACUAAGCAUAUCACACAAGCAAAAGACUUUUCUAGUUAUUGUAUCAAAAUAUUAGAUUCAUAUAUAUAUGUCACAACAACAUUACCUAAGAAACAAAUAUACAUUAUCUAUCUUAUUAAAACUCAAGUACAAAAUUGGAGUGUUUGUAGACUUGAAUAGGACUUUUAAAAAUUUGGAGUGUUUGGAAACAUGGAUUGCAGUCUUUUAAAAAAAAAUAUUUUUGUUUGAAAACAAGGAUAGUAGUAUUAAGAAAAAAAGUAAUGGGCUUAUGUUUUUUUAAAAAAUUGAAAGUUAUCUAGGCCACUUUUAAAAUAUACCAAAAUGGGUCAAUCUAAUUCCCUAAAAAAAAUUUUUCUAAACUAACCAUAAAACAAAAUUUAAACUUUAUAUACAUAUUUCAAAUCAAAAUAAUAAUUCAAAUUUGAUUUAUAUCAAAAAUUGAUUCAAAAAUAUACAUAUAUUCAAAAAUGGAUUUUUACUAAACUAUUUUUCAAUAACCAUUAUAAAAAAAUAUUGUCAAUAUAUAUAAGAAAAAUAUAAUACAAAGCCCAAUUUGAAAUACCAACUCAAAUUAUGGUUUUCAUAUUUCAUAUUAAGUUUUAAAAAUAUAAUAUAUGUAAUUAUUUAUAUGAUGGUAUGUAUAAAAUACUAUUAAUUAUAUGAUUACUUAUAUGAUGGUACAUAUAAAAUACGAUUAAUUAUAUGAUGAUAAAAUACGAUAUAUAAUAAUGACUAGGGAUGGGCUUUUGAAUCACAUAUGUCAUAAUACUUAAACUUAACAUAUCAAUUGGCUUGAUUUAAAAUUUUGGAAACGAAAUCAAUAAUUAUUUUAAGUAUUUUUGGUGAUUUGAGUAUACUUUAACUAUUUCAGAUAUUUACUUUUGACUAUCUAUAUAUAUUUUCAAGUAUUUAAACCAAUUUAAAAGUAUCAUUUUUGAUGUUUUAUAUACGUUAAAUCUAAAAAUAAUUAAUAUAUAUAAGUAUAUAAAUCUAUUUUUAGAUAAAUUCGGAUACCUAAAUACUUCGGUUCGGAUCAGAUUCGGUUCUCUAAAUAACAAAAUUUUGAAUAAUUAGAAUAUUUAAUCAAUUUAUGUUUGGGUUUGGUACUAUAUCUUUGGAUCGAUAUCGGUUAUGUUCCUCGGAUUCAUUUUUUCAAAUCCUAAUAAUUACAUGAAAAACAAAUAUCAACAUAUUUUUCAAAAUAUACACCCGCGCGCCUGCGCGGGUCAAAAUCUAGUUCCCAAUUAAACUUGACAAGGAAACGUUAUGUAUAAUACAUGAUUUGUAUUCUACUCACAAGAAAAUAUCAUUUCCAUUGCUUUUUUGUGGCUUUAGAAGAAAAAUAAAAUCUUAUUUUAUUAAUUCCUCUAAACAACUCCUUAUCACCAGGAAAAAUCCCUUGGCCUCUCUUUAUUCCGUUCUUUAACAUCCAUCCAACCCACAAUUAAUUCAAAAAUAUAAUGAUAAUUAUUAUUAUAUGAUAAAUUAUAUAAGGACCUUAUUUGAGAAAACUCAUUCAAGAUUUGGUGGAUCACUCAAGAACACAUCUUCAAAGAAAAAGAUUGCAAAAACUAGAAUGAAGAAGACAAUGGAAGAUUCAAGCAAGAUCAUGAGAAGAUCAAUCCACACUUUCCUCCAAAACUACCACCAUGCCACCACCGCAGCCGCCAUUGCCCUCCCUUUCUCUGCCGCUCUCCUCCUCUCUCAAGCCUUCUUCUCCUCCUCUUCCUCCUCCUCAUUUCACUUGAGGUUAAACACACUCUUCCACGGAGCGGGUUUCACUUCUUCACUUUACUUCUUCAACAUGUUAAGCCUUAAACUCUCACAAACACUUUCUUCCUCUUUGCUCACUCUCCUUUUCUCCCUCACUUUCCUCCUCUUCUCCAAAGCUUACGUCAUCAAACUCCUUUCAAACAACCACGACUCUUUUUGUUAUUACCUUCCUCUUCUCAGAACUUACGUUUGCAACUCUCUCUUCCUCCUCUCAGCAAACGCCUCUGCUUUUGCUCUGUGCUUCUUCAUAGCAUCCUUUGGAUUCUAUUCAAGAAGCUUCUACACUCUAUUCUCCUUAGCCUCAGCCAUUAUCUACUCGAUCAUCCUCGCAAACGCCUAUGUCAUCACCAACCUAGCCUUGGUUUCAUCAACAUCCUCUCCCUCCUCAGGAGGAUACACAACAACACUUCUCAAGGCGUGUCUUCUCAUUCGUGGAAGAGCUUCAACAGCAUUGGCACUUGCUCUGCCUACUAAUCUCGGCUUAGCAGGAGUGGAAGCCUUGUUUCAGUACAGAGUAGGGAGGUCUUAUUACAAAGAGGACAGAGGUAUCACCUCGAUAGCUGUAGAAGGAAUGUUAAUAGCUUACUUAUACGCUCUCUUCUUGGUUCUUGACACUAUAGUCAGCUUCCUCUUUUACCAAAGCUGCCUCAAGAACGAUGAGGAUCAGAAGAAAGGUAGAGAAGAUGAGUAUACGAUCAAGAUCCAAAUAUGUGGAACAGAUGACAUGAAGAUAUGCAUCAAAGGUCCAAAAUGUUUCCAAGAAAUCUUGUGAAUUUCGUGUUUUGGUUUGAUGUCAAUUAUUGAUAAAGAACCAAGAAAGGAGGUGACAAACUUUUUAAAGAUUAACGAUUUUUUAAAGGAUAAUUUCUCAAGUAGCUUUCACUUCAAUCAAUUACAUGAUCAGUAUAAUUCUCUUAUUGAUCUGAUUUUAAUUUAUUUUCUUAUAAUGUAAAGUCGUAUAUAUACAAACAAAACUAUAGUUAAUGUCAAUCUUGAAAUUCACAUUUGAUUAUUCCUACAAUGGAAUUUCAUUGCCGACAUAAUGUGUGUAUAUUCCUUCAAUGAUUUAAUUACUUCCUUUAGUUGACGAAUAUGUUGAGCAGAUUCACAUUAAGACAGGGAAUGUUUUGUUGUGGAGCAUAUAUAAGUCCAAGCACAAUCUUUCAUUACAAAGAUAGAAGAAGAAGAUGUCACAUUUAUAUUGAAACUGACAAAAGAUCAAUAUAAGUUUUGUCUUUUUGUCCUUUGAAUUAAAAUAAUCUUAAAAUCAUUUUAUGUUAGUGAUCGUGUUUACACUAAAAAGGACAAAAGCUAGUGAGUGGUCCCUAUCACUAAUCUCUCUACUUGAAGUUAAGUUUCUUUUGAACUGACAGUGAACUGUUUGGAACAAAAGCAAAGUUCUCUAAGACAACAUAUCUAAUUUUCUUAUAAUGGAGAGAAUCUGAACAAACCAAUUUACUUUUUUUAUGAGCUGAAAAGAUUCAGGCUAGAAUUAAAAAUGGUUGUAGAGCAUUUUAUGAAAUGGUGUCUUAGCUCAAAAGGAAUGAAGAAACAACUAAAACUGUAAAUGUUAAACAUAAGAGGCGACAGAUGAAAUAAAAACCAAUGAGUCAUUUUAUUAAUUUCUUGUCAAGAUUGCAAAUUUUUUUUUUUUUUUGUGGAAUUAAUAGAAUGAUCAUCCCAUUUUAUUCAAGUUAAAUAAUCACCCUUUACUUUUAACAUUUUUUCGUUAUUUUAUUUUGAAAAGAACAAAUGAUUAUUCAAAAUUAAAAACAUAACAUGCUCAUAGUGGCAUUGCGUGGUAAUACAUUUGAAAAUACGGGGGCAAAAACGUCUAACACUCGCUUUUUUUUUUUAAUUCCGCAUGAUGUGCUCGUGUGUUAUAUAUCUUUCAUUCCACCUCCUCUGCACAAUCUUCUUCUUCUUCUCAUUCUCUUCAGCUCCUUGUUUCUUCCUCAGAUUCAAUCAUAGAGAUUCAAGAUAGAUUUUCGUUCACCUCUUCUCCAGAUCUAGCUCCCUCCCCCCUUAUCACGGAACAAUCCAGGUUCGUUCAUCGGAAUCAUCAUUCGUUAGAUCCAAAUCGAUGUAACCCAAUCCGUUUCUUGUGGAUCGAGACGAAUGCAUAGAGCUUCGUGAAUUCAAUUGUGAUUUUUUUGCAUAACCGAUCUGAGAGAUGAAUUUCGUGUUAAUUGAUUGAUUCGAGCCAAUGCAGGAUCUUAGCCAAGAUGGCAAGUGAGGAGCAGUGGUUUAAAGGGAGAGUGAAGGCUGUUACCUCCGGAGACUGCUUGGUCAUCACGGCUUUGGCCCAAAGCAGGCCCGGCCCACCUCCUGAAAAGACCAUCACUUUGUCUUCUCUCAUGGCUCCUAAACUGGUGAGUCACUCUAUUAAUCUUUUUUCUCUUAUAGGCGUUUCUUUUUCCUUUUUUUUUUUUUUUAAGUUAAAAGUUAAAUGACUGUUUCUUAUAUUUCGCUCAGAACUUCACUAUAAGAAUCCCAUUAAUCAUGUUUUAAGUGGAUGAAAUGAAUACUUCACCAACAGAAAGUUUCAAAAACUUUUUUUUUUUUAACAACAAAAGUUUCAAAAGCUAUAUAAGUGCUGUUCGUUUAGUUGAAGCAGCUACCUGCAGCUGCGUCGUCAAUUUUUUUAAUAAAUUCUUGUUCGUUUCAUUAACGCUGGUACUGCGUCUAAACGAUGCGUCCUCGCGUCAGAUUGUCGAAAAAAUCUGCGUCUGUGACGACGUCUACGAAACGAACAACAAUUAUUUUCAUUGACGCUGACGCCGAAAACUGCGGCAACCAAACGAACAUGACUUAUAAUAACUUUUCAUAUGUACGGAAAUUGGAAAAAGUAAAUCACUUUCUUACACAGCAUUGGAAUAAAUCAUAUGUGUAGAACGUUAGCUUACAUGAUUUUUGUUAGAGUCUAGGCUUUUUCUCUCAUUGUUUGGUUUGUUCCUUGGUUUCAGGCUCGUAGGGGAGGUAUAGACGAGCCUUUUGCGUGGGAGAGCAGGGAGUUUCUGAGGAAGCUUUGCAUUGGGAAGGUGCUAUGUCCAAACACUUAAUCAUUUAUGCUAGUAAUUGACAAUAUUCUUUAUAUUGAUAGCUUUUUUCUUGUUGCGCAGGAGAUCACUUUCAAAGUGGACUACAAAGUGGAAGCUAUUGGCAGAGAAUUUGGCUCUGUUUACCUUGGCAGUGAAAAUCUUGCUAAGCUUGUUGUUCAAAAUGGCUGGGCUAAGGUGAUCAACCGUUUUAAAAAACUUCACUAGAUAGGGGCUUGUUUAUGGUGUAUGAUGCUUGUGUCAGCUUUCUGAUAUGGUUGAGAAAUGCCUUUACUGUGGAUAGGUCAGAGAGCCAGGUCAGCAGAAUCAGGAUAAAGUUAGUCCUUACGUUGCGGAGCUGUUACAGCUUGAAGAGAUGGCUAAGCAGGAAGGGCUUGGCCGUUGGAGCAAGGUUGGUGCUCUCUUUUACUGUUUCUCUGGUUUUGACUUAUGAAAGUUAGUCUCAUGUACUCUUUCUUGGUUUGUUGAUGGAAUUUUACUUGAUCCAGGUUCCUGGUGCUGCCGAGGCAUCUGUCAGGAACCUUCCUCCUUCUGCCGUUGGGGACUCUGGGAAUUUUGACGCCAUGGGUCUUUUAGCCGCAAGUAAAGGCAAGCCCAUGGAAGCUAUUGUUGAGCAAGUCCGCGAUGGCAGUACCAUCCGUGUCUAUCUUCUUCCUGAAUUUCAGUUUGUGCAAGUGUUUGUUGCUGGACUCCAGGUGUGUAAUCUUGUUUCUUCUUCUUUUUUUGAUGUGUGAGGAGUUUACAUUAAUUUCAUGAUAUAUCCUAUGUAGGCUCCAUCAAUGGGAAGGAGAUCCACACAAGAAACUGUUGUUGAGCCAGAUGUUACAUCAGCUCCAAAUGAAGAUGCUUCUGCUGAGCCCCGUGGUCCUCUAACAUCCGCCCAGAGACUCGCUGCUUCAGCAGUAUCGUCCGUUGAGGUUUCCUCUGAUCCGUUUGCAUUGGAAGCCAAGUAUUUUACUGAGCUUCGUGUUCUUAAUAGAGAUGUAAGGACUAAUUGCAACAAAUUAAUUCGCAUGUAUCUGUAUCUAAAAUUUGAAUGAUCUAAGUCUGAGCUGGAUUUUUCAGGUUCGCAUUGUUCUUGAAGGUGUUGACAAAUUCAACAAUCUGAUUGGGUCAGUUUACUACUCUGUUGGGGAAACAGUUAAAGACUUGGGUCUGGAGCUGGUUGAAAAUGUAUGUGGUCUAACUUAAACAGUUAUUUUCUUUUCAACAUGAUUACAUAAUGAACUAAUUGGCCAAAAAAUUUUUCACUUUGCCACAACAAUGUACUUACUUAAGAAGUCACUGGCAAUAUAAUAUAUUGAUGGUGCUGAAUAAAAGUUAUGACGUUUGUUGCUAUUCUUUUUGCUCAGGGUCUUGCUAAGUAUGUUGAGUGGAGUGCCAACAUGAUGGAGGAAGAAGCCAAAAAGAAGCUGAAAGCUGCAGAGCUUCAAUGCAAGAAGAACCGGGUGAAAAUGUGGUCAAACUAUGUCCCUCCAGCUAGCAACUCUAAGGCAAUUCAUGACCAGAACUUUACUGGGAAGGUAAUUGCUUGCUUGCUUGCACACGUUGCACACUAUGUCCCCAUUUCACUAGUCCUUAGUUCUUAAUAGUUUUUACUCUCUUCAGGUAGUGGAAGUUGUGAGUGGGGACUGCUUAGUAGUAGCUGAUGACUCUGUACCAUUCGGGAGUCCCAUGGCAGAGCGACGAGUCUGUCUUUCCAGCAUUAGGUCUCCUAAAAUCGGUAACCCACGCAGAGAGGAGAAACCUGCCCCUUAUGCUCGGGAAGCCAAGGAGUUUCUGAGACAGAAGCUUAUUGGAAAACAGGUAUUAGUUGCUUCGUGCCUCCUUAUUGGAAAAGAAACCUGACUUCUUCUUUUUCCGGUGAAGGUUAAUGUGCAAAUGGAAUACCAAAGGAAGAUCAGCCCAGCAGAUGGUGCUACUACUUCUGGAGCUGGCGAUUCCAGGGUUAUGGAUUUUGGUUCAGUGUUCCUACCAUCUGCUACCAAGGGUGAUGCAGCUGCAGAAACUCCCGGAGUCAAUAUAGCUGAACUCAUAAUCGCCCGUGGCUUAGGGACUGUGGUUAGACAUCGCGACUUUGAAGAGAGGUCAAACCAUUACGAAGCUCUACUGGCUGCUGAAGCUCGUGCUAUUGCCGGGAAGAAAGGAAUCCAAUCGACAAAGGACUCUCCAGCAAUGCACGUCACAGACCUGACUGUGGCCUCGGCCAAGAAGGCUAAAGAUUUCCUUCCAUCCCUGCACAGAAGUAGGAGAAUAUCUGCUGUUGUGGAAUAUGUACUGAGCGGACAUCGGUUCAAGCUUUACAUUCCAAAAGAAACAUGCAGUAUUGCAUUUGCAUUCUCUGGUGUCAGAUGUCCUGGCCGUGGAGAACCCUAUUCAGAAGAAGCUAUUGCUUUAAUGAGACGCAAGAUCAUGCAGAGAGAUGUCGAGGUAAUACGAGAUCUCAUUUGUUUUUAUUCCCUUUGUUCUAUAUAUGAGUCUUAUACUGUCUUUUUAUAAUCAACAGAUCGAAAUUGAAACUGUGGAUAGAACCGGCACUUUCUUGGGAUCAAUGUGGGAGGGGAAGACCAACGCAGCAACGUUUCUUCUUGAAGCUGGGGUGGCAAAAAUGCAGACUGGCUUUGGUGCAGACAGGAUUCCAGAAGCUCAUCUUCUUGAAUUGGCGGAACGAUCUGCUAAGAAUCAGAAAGUGAAGGUAACUACCAAUAGAUAUUAAUAUAUCUCUUUUUUUUUUUCCAAAAGAAAAGCAUUGCUGAACUGUUUUAUUCCACAGAUCUGGGAAAACUAUGUUGAAGGAGAGGAGGUUGUGAAUGGUGGUGGUUCUAAAGUAGAAACAAGACAGAAGGAAACACUAAAGGUGAAUUUUAACCAACGAGUCAAGAGUUUUAAUACUAAAAGCAAAACAUUAACUCACUCUUAAUUUCCCUUUGGCUACAGGUUGUUGUUACGGAAGUGCUUGGAGGCGGUAAGUUUUAUGUGCAAACGGUUGGAGAUCAGAAAGUAGCUUCUAUUCAAAACCAGCUUGCAUCUCUGAGUCUUAAAGACGCUCCAAUUGUUGGAUCGUUUAACCCUAAGAAGGGUGACAUCGUCCUUGCACAGUUCAGCCUCGAUAACUCCUGGAACCGUGCAAUGGUAACUCAUCAAACCUCUAAUAUCCCAUCCUUUAGUUCUUCUUAUUGUAUGUUUACUUUGAAUUCAGAUUGUUAAUGCACCACGAGGAGCAGUUCAAUCUCCAGAGGACAAACUCGAAGUGUUCUACAUCGAUUAUGGGAACCAAGAAACAGUUCCGUACAGCGCAAUUCGCCCUGUAGAGGCUUCAGUGUCCUCAGCACCAGGACUCGCGCAGCUCUGCAGACUUGCCUAUUUAAAAGUUCCAAGCCUGGAAGAGGACUUUGGUCCUGAAGCGGGAGAGUAUCUACAUUCGGUGACGCUGGGGAGUGGUAAAGAGUUCAAGGCAGUGGUGGAGGAAAGAGAUACAUCAGGAGGCAAAGUGAAAGGCCAAGGAACUGGAACAGAGCUCGCUGUUACUCUCAUCGCUGUCGAUGAUGAGAUCUCUGUCAAUGCAGCAAUGCUCCAGGUCAGUGCCUCGCCUCCUCUUUCUCAUUAUUAUAAACCUGAGAGUGUAAUGUGUGUUGUGGUAUGAGAACAGGAAGGAAUAGCGAGGAUGGAGAAACGGAAGAGGUGGGAGCAUAAAGACAAGAAAGCAGGUCUUGAUGCUCUUGAGAAGUACCAAGAAGAAGCUCGCAAAUCUAGGACAGGAAUAUGGCAGUAUGGAGACAUUCAAUCUGAUGAUGAGGACAGUGUUCCGGUCAGGAAACCUGGUCGCGGGUGAGUGUGUUUUUCCAACUUUUAUGAUCAAUGGUUGGUUCCAAAGAGGGGAUCAACCUUGUUCAAGAUUGUUGCUUACAAAGCAUCAAACUUUUUGUAACGUUUAGAAAUUCUCUUUUUUUUUCAUAUACUUUUUUUUGGGUUUAUAGAUCAUAAAGUGACGAUGUUCUUGUUAUUUAUUUUUGUUUGACAAAAGAAUCUCAUAAUAAGGUAAGGUGAUGUAUUAACUUAAGGGGACUUUCAUUUGCUUCGCUAAUGUUUUAAUUAAACUUUGAGCUUCAUCCUCUUUUGUAUUUUCCUCCAAAGUUCAUCUUCUUCAGAUAGUUAAAUUUAAUAAGCGUUAUUAUAAACUGAGCUUAUUAAUGUCGUUGGAUUCUUAUAAUCGUUAUUAUAAUUCGAGUUGCAUCAAUGUUGCUCAGCAAGGCCCAAGUCAUGGCCCCAAGUAGUAAUAUGAUUUUGUGUCAUUGCCAAGGCUAUGACAUGAGAUUAUGUUUAAUGAAGACGUCCAACGACAAUAGUUACAAGAACUGCAACUAAGCAACAUAAGAACAAUUGAGAUCAGUGAAUAGCCGACUCUCAACUCGAAUAAAGACACUAGAAUCUUUUUGGACUUUGGAGUAACCAGUUUUGCUUUUAUGAGAGUAAAAAAACAAAGUAACAGAAACUACAAUUUAGCUCUAAUCCCAACUUGGUUUUACACCUCAAAAAAGGCUCUACAGCAGAAAAGACAAAUUCGACACAAGUAAAAAUCAAAAAUAAUAAUUUCAACAUCUCGAAAACAUUCCCUUUUCUUCUGUCAUUCUAAAACACCACUUUUCUAAUUGUCACGCCUCGGUUGCCUUUUGCGAGGAGCAGCAGCGGUUUCUUCCUUCUUCUCUGUCUCAUCUUCACUCUUUGAGCUCUCUCCUACUUCUGGUUUCUUCUUCUUCUCCACGGUUGCUGCCGGCGCCGCCUGUAAACAAACCAUUUUAAUUUCUUUAUCUUUUUUUCACUUACUUCCAUAUUAAAAUGACAGAGGGAAUAUUACCUUUUUGCCACCGAAGAUAAGCUUGAUGAAGAGCGAGAAGAAUACUACGACAAUGGAGACUAGGACACCAAUGGUUAAGUUUGGUUGUUCCUCAGCUUUCUCAAUCAGUUCCUACAAAAACAACACCAUAUUCAAAAUUCACUUUAGGUCGAUUCAUCAUCAUCAUAACAUGAAACAAAUUUUAAACGAGGGAGGAGAAACUUACUGUGAUCUUAGACUUGUAGGCACUUAGGAAAGAAAUGUCUGCAACCUUGUUCAAGAGGUCGAACACAACCUUCUGCAAACAUCAUGCACAGAUAUAACUGUAAGAAUCAUAACGAGAAGCUAUAUGUUAUAAAAAAAGGUUUAGUUUCUUUACCUGGUAGCUCUUGAGACCAUCAGCAGAGCUAGCAGCCUCCUCUUCCGCCUUUUGUUUCUCUUUCUCAACAUCGAACUUCGGCUUCCAUGUCGUCUGUCUGUAACUCUCAGCGACCUUCUCGUCUUUCGCUAUCAACAUGUUAUCAAACAAGAUACCGUCUUGCAUCGUCCAGAUCUCAAUACCGAUUGCCGCAAUGGGUUCGAAGUCAGGUCUGUCCAGCUCAAAGUAGUCAGGGUUAGGGAUGUCUCUGGGCUUCCAGAUUCCCUUGUAAGCAGGGUUGUCUAUCAUAGGCGCACUCCAUUUGCCCUUGUAAGCAGGAUUCUUCUUCAUGGGUCUCUUCCAUUCACCACAGCCUGGUGCUGCUUCACACUUGGGGUUGUCAAUCUUUGGAGCCUCCCACAUACCAUCUUCCUCAUCAUCCCAGUCUUCAGGCUUGGUCGCCUCUGGGUCGUCCACCUCCUCAGGCUCGUCAUCUAACCAUCCUUCGGGUUUCUCAGCUUCCUCGUCUUCGAUCUCCAUGGGCGCCUCCUCGUCCCAGUCUUCAGGCUUCACGGCGUUAGGAUCAGGGAUCUUGGCUCUCUCAUCCCAGUCUUCUGGUUUCUUGUCUUCAGGGUCAGGGAUGGUCUUGGCAGGGAUCAACGCAGGCUCAAAGUCCUCCCCAGAAAGUAAAUUAGCCUUCUUCUUCUCCUCUCCAUCAACCAGAAUCCUAACCUCGUUGUCUGGCUUCAAGAUAGCGGUGUAGACAUGGGAAAGCUUGUCGUAAGGAACAGAGGGAGGGAACUUGAGAUGGUGCUCAACGUACUCGCCGCUCUUUGGGUUCUUGUGUUUCAAGAUGAAAUGAACUUUGUUUGUGGCUCCACACUUGUCAGGCCCAAACAUGAUAGAGUAAGGAGAUUCGCUAUCGAACCCUUCAGGUGUCCAUCCAGCUUCCUGAGGACGGAGGUACUUCAAGUAAGCACCACCACACUCAAGCCCUUCCUGGAAACGAACCUCGUACUGAAGAACAAUGGUUCCUUCCUUGAGGUUUAGAGGCUCGUCAAGCUCCUUCACUAUACCGUACUUACGAGCCUUCUCGCUUACGAGAAGUCCGUAAUCAUCAUGUCCCUCACUCUUCGCAUGCUUCCACACACCUGAAACAGAUAAAGCGGUCUUAACAAAGAAGCUUCUACCACAUCAUAAAACCAACAACUCAUCUAUACUACCACAACAUUUUCAAUUUGAUUCUAUUAGCAUGUGGACAAUCAUAUACUCGCAUAUAAUGGUCAAGACUCUGGAAUGUCCGGUUUAUUAUCUUAAUUAGUAUAUAAACCAUCUGGAUCUAUACUACUACUAUUCAUAUACGUGCAUAUAAAGCCAACCAUUCAACAACAUCGUGACGUGAAGGUGACGAAGUCUUAUAAUCUUAUUUGAUUCAAACAUCCAUCAACACUCUUGAUUUGAUUCUAUUAGCACAUAAUAGUUUCUUAAUUGACUCAGGAAUGCCUGGUUUAUUAAUUAUAUUAUAAUAAUGAUGUAAACCAUUUGGUUAUUUCUGGUUUAGGUUCCAAAUAGUAACUGCAGUUUGAGCGGUGCGGGACAAACGGUUUAACUGCGGUGCGGUUUUAACAGUUAUAAAAGCGUAUAGAUAUAUGGUAUAUGUAGAGAUUUUUAUUACAGUUAACUGCGGUGCGGGGCAGGGCGGUUCGUAACACUAUUAUAAGCUUUAGUUUGUUAACACUAUUAUACAAGAUUUGUAACAAACUUUAAGAUCAUUAAUGAAUAAAUCAACAUUCUUCUUUGAAUCAAGAACACUUCAAUAACUCCACUCUAAAUCAUUAUAAUCCAAUCAGAUCAGAACCAUAUACUAACCACAAACGCGUUUCAGAGAGUUUAGCGAUAUACAAUACCUUCGUAAUCACCAUUCUUCGAAACGAUCCAGCGACCAUCAAACGCCUCAUCGAACGAUUCAUACAACACCUGAACACAAAUCCAACGAGCUCAGAUCUAAAAAAUCUUCAGAUCUACGAUAACAUUCGGAAACAUUUUCCCGAGAAAAAUCGAAAUCUACCGUAUUAUCGUCGCAGUGGCAAAGGUUCUGGAGCGAGAGGAGAGCUAGGAUAAGCAUAAGGCCGGAGAAUAGCUGCCGGUCUCUCAUCAUCGGAACGGUUCGAGUAGAUCGGAGGGAGAAGAGAGAGAGAGAGAGAGAGAGUGGAAUCUAUUUUUUUUUUUUCCUGAAGAUUUUAGUUUCUCUGAGUGAUUUAUAUAUUUAAAUCCCGUAGACUCGGUCGAGUGUGUCGAUUUUUGUUGUUUCCACCAAUGAGAUCGCUCGCCACGUGGUGAGAGCCAAUAGAUGGACGCCACGUCAUGCGAAAGAGAGGUAUCCUACGUGCGCAAUUUGUAUUGCUACGUAAUGUGCAUGUUUAUUAUACAGAUAGUCUAACGUCAGUAUUGGGCUGGGCCUGUAAUCAAUUUAAAAGUCUCUGGUAGAGUAAGAGUCUUCUAGAAGCAAAAGUAACACAUUUAUCAGGAACAAAGAACCAAAUCAAACUAAACUAAAAAAAAUGAGGUUUGGUUCGGAUUUAGAUCAUAUAAUACACGAAUGAACGGAUCCUAUAACUUUUGAACUGAAAAACCAAAACCAAACUGGAGCAAACAAAGACCCGAAUGGAUACCCGAAUUUUUAUAAUAUAAUAUAUACACUUAUAAAUAUUAACUACAUUUAGUUUCAAAAUGAUAAAAUAAUUUGAAAUACUAUUUCUAAAAACUAAAUCUCCAAAUACAUUUUAUCCGAAAUAUUUUAAAUUAUUUGAACUAUCCAAAUUUUACCUAAAUUAUUGGAUAAAAAUCUAACAUUUAGUAAAAAAAAGACUGAAUUUACUUACUUUUUUUUGAAACACAUCUGAAUUUUCUUACUUUUAACAAAACUUAACAAAAAAACUAAAAUCGAACGGCUAACGAAUAUGAUCCAAAAAUGACCUCGGAUAUUAUUCGGUUUUUAAUUUUGUUAUCUAAACUAAACUGAAAAAUGAAAUAACCGAAUCAGAACCAAAGUGAAUCCUAAACAUCUAAAACUGAAAAGCAGAAAAAAUCGAAAGAACCGAACCGGAACCGAAUCCAAAAUUCUUUAGCGGAGCAAGAGUCUCUAUUGGGCUGGGCCUACUAAUCAAUUUGAAAGUCUCUAGCUGAGCAAGAGUCUUCCACAUACCAUUGACAAAAGCAAACUUUUUACACACGUAAGUCGUAAUAACCAUUACAGAAAUGUCACACACUAGUGGAAGAGUACAAGAUACUUUGUUAUUUUAAUAUUUGGUAUUAGAAAAAGUGGAAAACUAUAAAAUGUUGAAGAUGAAUAUCUAUAGUUUUACUGUUUAGGUACUAAGUGAUUGGUAACCAUCUUCCCGGUUCUUUCUCCGGUAUACCACGGCGACUAUUAGAACCACAACCGCCACCGUCACUGCAAGAAAGGCUAAAAAGCUCAUACUGCUCGAAUGUGCCUGCAAAGAAAUAAUGAAUACUGACGUUAAGUAAAGUAACACACAUGGUAAUAACCGGUUUGACCUAAACCGAGAUCUGUUACCGGCAGUUUCGGUCCAGGCAGCUGCUGAGAAACGAGGAUGUAAAAGAGUCCCAUGACUCCUGUAUGACCAAUGACAUUACUGUAAUUGAACUCCAAAGACAGUGUCUCUCCAUUAGUCACUUUCACCGGUUCAGGAUAACAAGACGACAUUCCAACGAUGUAACCAGCUUCGCUUCCAGGCUCAUCUCCAUUGCCAUACUUCGGCAUCGAGGAGCAUAUUACCUCACCGUCCUGAUCAAAAUCCAUAACACAAGAGUCUCAGUUUUUGAGUAAAAAGUUUUUGCCUUAGCUUAAAACCUUAGGUUGGGUGUUUAUACCCAAACCCGAAAUCCGAACUGAGACCAAACCAAAAUUCUAUCUAAACCAUCAUAAAAAAUAUCCAAAUAGAGUCUAAGAAUACUUUCGGACUCGGGUACAAUCCAAACCAAACUAAAAUCCGUACUAGAAUCCAAAAAAUCCACAUUAGUUAAUCUGUUAAUGUUUUUUUCUACAUAUGUUACGUUAAGAUAGUUUAGAAAUUUUUAAAAAAAUUAGAAUUUUUUGUAGUUUUUAUAGGAAUUGCGAAUCGUUAUUUUGGAAUACUUUUAAUUAGUUUAGGUAGCUUGACAAGUUUUUAAUCAGAUUUUUGAUUUUUUUAUAUAUUUUAAAUAUGUUUUUGUCAAUUUCAUUAAUUUUAUUUCCAGAUUUAAGUACGAUUUUUAGACAAUGGUUAUAAUUUGAUUUGAACCAAACUCAUACCAAAUCGAAUCAAACCCGAUCCAAAAACUAGUAAAAUAUGAAUAAGACCAUUGUGCAUGAUACCGAAAAUCCAAAACAAACCCCGAACAAGACACCAAACGUCCGGGCCUGUUAAAAACUAACCUCUCGGUACAGAGCUGCACCGAUACCACCUGCGUGCUGGUGAGCUACUCCAUAGACAAUAUACCCGUUAAACGGCAUCAAUGGUUAUAAUUUGAUUUGAAUCAAACACAUACGAAAUCGAAUCAAACCCGAUCCAAAAACUAGUAAAAUAUGAAUAAGACCAUUGUGCAUGAUACCGAAAAUCCAAAACAAACCCCUAACAAGACACCAAACGUCCGGGCCUGUUAAAAACUAACCUCUCGGUACAGAGCUGCACCGAUACCACCUGCGUGCUGGUGAGCUACUCCAUAGACAAUAUACCCGUUAAACGGCAUCAUUAAGCUCUUUUUCUUAACAUCGACACACCCAUCACCCUUAGUUUUGCACGGUUUCACGUCAUAUUCCACCUGAAAAGAAAACAAUUAAUACACCUUAGCUAACGUUAAAAGCAUUAAUAAGCAGAGAUGUGAAAAGUCUUUACUGACAUGACAAAAAUGUUCUUGGUUAUCUCCUGUUGAUCCUUCUGACCGUUCCCAAGAAUCCGUUACAUCGAGAAUAUAAACCUUAGCCGGCAACAAAACCGAGCUGUCCCAAUCAACCCAUCUCACAGUAUACUUAAGAUACACAGUUCUUGUUUUGUUUCCACUUUCGAAUCCGUUUCUUAACCGACAUUGAGUCUUAUCGUAGCAGCAGUCUUGACCUCCUUUGUAUCCAGGUUCUAAAGCUCGACCGUACUCAUCAACCGUUACAUUAUAAAGACCACACCGACACUCGGUGCAUCCUUGUUUAUCCACAACCCCUCUAGUGUCAAUAGCGUGAAUAUUUAGAAGCCAUUUGAACUCAUACCCAUCAGGUACUUUCUCCGGGUUACCGAUCUCGAUCGCGUAAGGAUCAGGAACAUACGUCGAAGUCUUGCGUGUUUCUGAUCCUAACCCAAAGUAUUGUCUAACUCUGUUCCUACACAACCCUCCGUUACUAACGAGAAUAUAAUCAGGGCUCGAACCAAGGUUCCUAGGCGUGUCUAGGUGCGAAAGGUUGAGACCUUUACGCACGUAGUAAGGGUGCACAACCCAGUGGUGGAGAUAUGUCUCGUGUAACGGGACGGGGUUACCGUCUUGGUCGACUACUUCGGCGUCGAAACCUUUGAGGCCGAUGUGGCCUCUAGGGAAAUCGAUGUCGAACAGGUAAGGGUCUGCGACUGAUCCUGGAGUCAUGACUUGUUUUGGUGAUAGGAAACUUGCGGACUUGAUGUUAAUGCUGUGGCUAGGCGAUAUGCUUAACGCGACCAGAAGAAGAAGUAAGGACGAGAUGAUCAGGUAACAACGAGCCAUUUUGUCCUGUUUCGAUAUCGUUAUAGAGAGGUAAUAAAUGAAGUAAAACUGAUAAAAUACGUAAUCAUGAACCGGUUUGACCUAAACCGAGAUCUGUUACCGGCAGUUUACCUGCAAGAAGCUCUCCGGUCCAGGCAGCUGCUGAGAAACGAGGAUGUAAAAGAGUCCCAUGACUCCUGUAUGACCAAUGACAUUACUGUAAUUGAACUCCAAAGACAGUGUCUCUCCAUUAGUCACUUUCACCGGUUCAGGAUAACAAGACGACAUUCCAACGAUGUAACCAGCUUCGCUUCCAGGCUCAUCUCCAUUGCCAUACUUCGGCAUCGAGGAGCAUAUUACCUCACCGUCCUGAUCAAAAUCCAUAACACAAGAGUCUCAGUUUUUGAGUAAAAAGUUUUUGCCUUAGCUUAAAACCUUAGGUUGGGUGUUUAUACCCAAACCCGAAAUCCGAACUGAGACCAAACCAAAAUUCUAUCUAAACCAUCAUAAAAAAUAUCCAAAUAGAGUCUAAGAAUACUUUCGGACUCGGGUACAAUCCAAACCAAACUAAAAUCCGUACUAGAAUCCAAAAAAUCCACAUUAGUUAAUCUGUUAAUGUUUUUUUCUACAUAUGUUACGUUAAGAUAGUUUAGAAAUUUUUAAAAAAAUUAGAAUUUUUUGUAGUUUUUAUAGGAAUUGCGAAUCGUUAUUUUGGAAUACUUUUAAUUAGUUUAGGUAGCUUGACAAGUUUUUAAUCAGAUUUUUGAUUUUUUUGUAUAUUUUAAAUAUGUUUUUGUCAAUUUCAUUAAUUUUAUUUCCAGAUUUAAGUACGAUUUUUAGACAAUGGUUAUAAUUUGAUUUGAAUCAAACACAUACGAAAUCGAAUCAAACCCGAUCCAAAAACUAGUAAAAUAUGAAUAAGACCAUUGUGCAUGAUACCGAAAAUCCAAAACAAACCCCUAACAAGACACCAAACGUCCGGGCCUGUUAAAAACUAACCUCUCGGUACAGAGCUGCACCGAUACCACCUGCGUGCUGGUGAGCUACUCCAUAGACAAUAUACCCGUUAAACGGCAUCAUUAAGCUCUUUUUCUUAACAUCAACACACCCAUCACCCUUAGUUUUGCACGGUUUCACGUCAUAUUCCACCUGAAAAGAAAGCAAUUAAUACACCUUAGCUAACGUUUUUAAGUAAUAAAAGCAUUAAUAAGCAGAGAUGUGAAAAGUCUUUACUGACAUGACAAAAAUGUUCUUGGUUAUCUCCUGUUGAUCCUUCUGACCGUUCCCAAGAAUCCGUUACAUCGAGAAUAUAAACCUUAGCCGGCAACAAAACCGAGCUGUCCCAAUCAACCCAUCUCACAGUAUACUUAAGAUACACAGUUCUUGUUUUGUUUCCACUUUCGAAUCCGUUUCUUAACCGACAUUGAGUACUAUUAUAAGCUUUAGUUUGUUAACACUAUUAUACAAGAUUUGUAACAAACUUUAAGAUCAUUAAUGAAUAAAUCAACAUUCUUCUUUGAAUCAAGAACACUUCAAUAACUCCACUCUAAAUCAUCAUAAUCCAAUCAGAUCAGAACCAUAUACUAACCACAAACGCGUUUCAGAGAGUUUAGCGAUAUACAAUACCUUCGUAAUCACCAUUCUUCGAAACGAUCCAGCGACCAUCAAACGCCUCAUCGAACGAUUCAUACAACACCUGAACACAAAUCCAACGAGCUCAGAUCUAAAAAAUCUUCAGAUCUACGAUAACAUUCGGAAACAUUUUCCCGAGAAAAAUCGAAAUCUACCGUAUUAUCGUCGCAGUGGCAAAGGUUCUGGAGCGAGAGGAGAGCUAGGAUAAGCAUAAGGCCGGAGAAUAGCUGCCGGUCUCUCAUCAUCGGAACGGUUCGAGUAGAUCGGAGGGAGAAGAGAGAGAGAGAGAGAGAGAGUGGAAUCUAUUUUUUUUUUUUCCUGAAGAUUUUAGUUUCUCUGAGUGAUUUAUAUAUUUAAAUCCCGUAGACUCGGUCGAGUGUGUCGAUUUUUGUUGUUUCCACCAAUGAGAUCGCUCGCCACGUGGUGAGAGCCAAUAGAUGGACGCCACGUCAUGCGAAAGAGAGGUAUCCUACGUGCGCAAUUUGUAUUGCUACGUAAUGUGCAUGUUUAUUAUACAGAUAGUCUAACGUCAGUAUUGGGCUGGGCCUGUAAUCAAUUUAAAAGUCUCUGGUAGAGUAAGAGUCUUCUAGAAGCAAAAGUAACACAUUUAUCAGGAACAAAGAACCAAAUCAAACUAAACUAAAAAAAAUGAGGUUUGGUUCGGAUUUAGAUCAUAUAAUACACGAAUGAACGGAUCCUAUAACUUUUGAACUGAAAAACCAAAACCAAACUGGAGCAAACAAAGACCCGAAUGGAUACCCGAAUUUUUAUAAUAUAAUAUAUACACUUAUAAAUAUUAACUACAUUUAGUUUCAAAAUGAUAAAAUAAUUUGAAAUACUAUUUCUAAAAACUAAAUCUCCAAAUACAUUUUAUCCGAAAUAUUUUAAAUUAUUUGAACUAUCCAAAUUUUACCUAAAUUAUUGGAUAAAAAUCUAACAUUUAGUAAAAAAAAGACUGAAUUUACUUACUUUUUUUUGAAACACAUCUGAAUUUUCUUACUUUUAACAAAACUUAACAAAAAAACUAAAAUCGAACGGCUAACGAAUAUGAUCCAAAAAUGACCUCGGAUAUUAUUCGGUUUUUAAUUUUGUUAUCUAAACUAAACUGAAAAAUGAAAUAACCGAAUCAGAACCAAAGUGAAUCCUAAACAUCUAAAACUGAAAAGCAGAAAAAAUCGAAAGAACCGAACCGGAACCGAAUCCAAAAUUCUUUAGCGGAGCAAGAGUCUCUAUUGGGCUGGGCCUACUAAUCAAUUUGAAAGUCUCUAGCUGAGCAAGAGUCUUCCACAUACCAUUGACAAAAGCAAACUUUUUACACACGUAAGUCGUAAUAACCAUUACAGAAAUGUCACACACUAGUGGAAGAGUACAAGAUACUUUGUUAUUUUAAUAUUUGGUAUUAGAAAAAGUGGAAAACUAUAAAAUGUUGAAGAUGAAUAUCUAUAGUUUUACUGUUUAGGUACUAAGUGAUUGGUAACCAUCUUCCCGGUUCUUUCUCCGGUAUACCACGGCGACUAUUAGAACCACAACCGCCACCGUCACUGCAAGAAAGGCUAAAAAGCUCAUACUGCUCGAAUGUGCCUGCAAAGAAAUAAUGAAUACUGACGUUAAGUAAAGUAACACACAUGGUAAUAACCGGUUUGACCUAAACCGAGAUCUGUUACCGGCAGUUUACCUGCAAGAAGCUCUCCGGUCCAGGCAGCUGCUGAGAAACGAGGAUGUAAAAGAGUCCCAUGACUCCUGUAUGACCAAUGACAUUACUGUAAUUGAACUCCAAAGACAGUGUCUCUCCAUUAGUCACUUUCACCGGUUCAGGAUAACAAGACGACAUUCCAACGAUGUAACCAGCUUCGCUUCCAGGCUCAUCUCCAUUGCCAUACUUCGGCAUCGAGGAGCAUAUUACCUCACCGUCCUGAUCAAAAUCCAUAACACAAGAGUCUCAGUUUUUGAGUAAAAAGUUUUUGCCUUAGCUUAAAACCUUAGGUUGGGUGUUUAUACCCAAACCCGAAAUCCGAACUGAGACCAAACCAAAAUUCUAUCUAAACCAUCAUAAAAAAUAUCCAAAUAGAGUCUAAGAAUACUUUCGGACUCGGGUACAAUCCAAACCAAACUAAAAUCCGUACUAGAAUCCAAAAAAUCCACAUUAGUUAAUCUGUUAAUGUUUUUUUCUACAUAUGUUACGUUAAGAUAGUUUAGAAAUUUUUAAAAAAAUUAGAAUUUUUUGUAGUUUUUAUAGGAAUUGCGAAUCGUUAUUUUGGAAUACUUUUAAUCAGUUUAGGUAGCUUGACAAGUUUUUAAUCAGAUUUUUGAUUUUUUUUUUUGUAUAUUUUAAAUAUGUUUUUGUCAAUUUCAUUAAUUUUAUUUCCAGAUUUAAGUACGAUUUUUAGACAAUGGUUAUAAUUUGAUUUGAAUCAAACACAUACGAAAUCGAAUCAAACCCGAUCCAAAAACUAGUAAAAUAUGAAUAAGACCAUUGUGCAUGAUACCGAAAAUCCAAAACAAACCCCUAACAAGACACCAAACGUCCGGGCCUGUUAAAAACUAACCUCUCGGUACAGAGCUGCACCGAUACCACCUGCGUGCUGGUGAGCUACUCCAUAGACAAUAUACCCGUUAAACGGCAUCAUUAAGCUCUUUUUCUUAACAUCGACACACCCAUCACCCUUAGUUUUGCACGGUUUCACGUCAUAUUCCACCUGAAAAGAAAACAAUUAAUACACCUUAGCUAACGUUAAAAGCAUUAAUAAGCAGAGAUGUGAAAAGUCUUUACUGACAUGACAAAAAUGUUCUUGGUUAUCUCCUGUUGAUCCUUCUGACCGUUCCCAAGAAUCCGUUACAUCGAGAAUAUAAACCUUAGCCGGCAACAAAACCGAGCUGUCCCAAUCAACCCAUCUCACAGUAUACUUAAGAUACACAGUUCUUGUUUUGUUUCCACUGUCGAAUCCGUUUCUUAACCGACAUUGAGUCUUAUCGUAGCAGCAGUCUUGACCUCCUUUGUAUCCAGGUUCUAAAGCUCGACCGUACUCAUCAACCGUUACAUUAUAAAGACCACACCGACACUCGGUGCAUCCUUGUUUAUCCACAACCCCUCUAGUGUCAAUAGCGUGAAUAUUUAGAAGCCAUUUGAACUCAUACCCAUCAGGUACUUUCUCCGGGUUACCGAUCUCGAUCGCGUAAGGAUCAGGAACAUACGUCGAAGUCUUGCGUGUUUCUGAUCCUAACCCAAAGUAUUGUCUAACUCUGUUCCUACACAACCCUCCGUUACUAACGAGAAUAUAAUCAGGGCUCGAACCAAGGUUCCUAGGCGUGUCUAGGUGCGAAAGGUUGAGACCUUUACGCACGUAGUAAGGGUGCACAACCCAGUGGUGGAGAUAUGUCUCGUGUAACGGGACGGGGUUACCGUCUUGGUCGACUACUUCGGCGUCGAAACCUUUGAGGCCGAUGUGGCCUCUAGGGAAAUCGAUGUCGAACAGGUAAGGGUCUGCGACUGAUCCUGGAGUCAUGACUUGUUUUGGUGAUAGGAAACUUGCGGACUUGAUGUUAAUGCUGUGGCUAGGCGAUAUGCUUAACGCGACCAGAAGAAGAAGUAAGGACGAGAUGAUCAGGUAACAACGAGCCAUUUUGUCCUGUUUCGAUAUCGUUAUAGAGAGGUAAUAAAUGAAGUAAAACUGAUAAAAUACGUAAUCAUGCAUGGAUAAAUUAACAUCUCAAACUCUUAACCUAGUUUUGUUUGAAAUAAAACUGUGGACACAACAAACCCACUUGAAAGUUUGAAACCUGAUUUAACUACAAGAUGUCAAGUUACAAAAACGAAUAAUCUAGCAUAAUCUUAAAUAAGUUUGUUGGGACCAGGGCCCGCACUGAGAUUUUGAGGAGGGAGGAUUAUACAUGGUUUAAGAAUGAUUUCUAUACUUUAGGAACCUAUAAAUUUUUUUUUUAUAAAUUUAGAAGUCUAUUUAUAUAUAUAUUUAAAAAAAAAAUGGAAGUUUGAAACAAAUGUUUCAUCGAGCUUGGUUGAGGACCGGUCUUGAAGCCGGAUCUGAAAUUUCAGGAGAUAUAAAUAUUUUUUCUAAAACUUUAAUUAAAAAUUGCAAUUUAGGAGCUUAUCACUAUAUAAAAACCUGCAUAAAUUUUGGAGGCCAAAACUAAUGUUUUUUUUUUGAAAAAUAGGCCAAAACUAAUGUUUCACACGGUUAUUCUUAAUCUGAACUCUGAAGCUCAUACAUAAAGGGACGCAGAGAUGUUAGAUAAGUUCCUGAUUCGAACCUAUCUACUACGUAACUGUCUUCCCUAUCAACAAAAAAACACGAUUACAAAAGACAGAAAGCUAGGGAGUGAGAGAUUUACGUG